GGGCUGGGCUGGGCUGGGCUGCAGGAUGGCACGCGCGGCUCCACCGCCCUCCCCCUUCUUCCUCCCUCC
rnacentral:miRNA from 1 species